AGCGAACGCUGGCGGCAGGCCUAACACAUGCAAGUCGAACGGAUCCUUCGGGAUUAGUGGCGGACGGGUGAGUAACACGUGGGAACGUGCCCUUUGGUUCGGAACAACUCAGGGAAACUUGAGCUAAUACCGGAUGUGCCCUUCGGGGGAAAGAUUUAUCGCCAUUGGAGCGGCCCGCGUCUGAUUAGCUAGUUGGUGAGGUAACGGCCCACCAAGGCGACGAUCAGUGGCUGGUCUGAGAGGAUGAUCAGCCACACUGGGACUGAGACACGGCCCAGACUCCUACGGGAGGCAGCAGUGGGGAAUCUUGCGCAAUGGGCGAAGGCCUGACGCAGCCAUGCCGCGUGAAUGAUGAAGGUCUUAGGAUUGUAAAAUUCUUUCAGCGGGGACGAUAAUGACGGUACCCGCAGAAGAAGCUCCGGCUAACUUCGUG
rnacentral:rRNA from 1 species